rnacentral:tRNA from 1 species
GCAUCCAUGGUUGAAUGGUUAAAGCACCCAAGGGAUAAUUGGAGAGUUCGUAGGUUCAAUUCCUAUUGGAUUCA